rnacentral:lncRNA from 1 species
GUUUGUCUGGAGCACUGGGACACAGGAAAAGUGAGCGCUGCUCCUCGGAGGCCCCUGGGCAGUUCAGGGGACCCCCGGUGCCUGCUGAAGGCAGCAGGUUAAAUGCCCUCUGGAGUGCGGAGCGCCGGGCCCUGGGGAUAGCCAUCAGCAGUAAGUGAGAGAGGCGGCAAAAGCCACCAGCAAGCAAGCAGCUGAUCUGAAAGGAGGCCUGAGGCGAGUGUCUAAGCGUGACAGACAGCUGAGGUUUGUUGUGCUUUGAUUACGAACAAGCCAUUCGCUCAAACAAGGAGCCAGGCUGUGGAAGGUGUCCUGAGUCUCCCAGCCACAGGGACCUGGCUCCAUUCUGCAGGAGAAACUCUCAAAACAGGAAAAGAAAUCACCACAGAGCUAGAGACCGUCUUCCCCGUUUGCAUCAGUUAGCAUUGAGGAGAGAUCUCUCAGCCACGAAGGUCUCUACAACGUUCACAUUGAAAACAACGCAGUUGAGCAGCCCAUGGACCACACCGUAGACCUGCCUGCAGGGAUCCUGAACAAGACCCAGAAAGGAAAAAGAGGCUUCGCAAAGCUGAGCGCCCAGGACACAUGGAACAGCAUGUUUCCUUGCAACAGUUCAUCUCUCUGAGAGAGGGCUCUGCACUGUAGGGCGAUGAGGCCAAGGCCUGGUGUAGACCCUGCUUUUUCUCACCCAGGUGCCAGGCCAGCCAAGGCAAAGAGCCAAUCCCUCUAUAUCCCAGCCACAAGACGGCCAGGCCCCUCCGAUCAUGGCUUAAAUCAUUCUCGUUCACAGUCUGGGCAGAGAAAACUGGCCAGUAGGAAGCAAAGCUAUCGGCCUCACUAGCCUGGCCUGGCUUUGGAUGGCUCUCAUGGGCUACACAAACCUAGGCUUAACGUAUCCUGCUUACUGACUGAGCAGGUCCUCUCCCCAGGGGCCACUCAGCACGAGUUAGGAUCCAAUUGGCAUUAAUUGGACCAAGCUGGCAGUGCCUGGGGCAGCUUUAGUUCUGUCAUCACGCAUUUGACUCAGAGCAACGGCCAUCAGUGCCUAUAGAGCACACCCUUAGUGUCAUUGUGGAAGGCUCAAGUGAGUGUACAUGGUGCUGUGUGAGACGGCCUGACAGCCUUGCCAUAGCUAACACCCAGAGACCUAGAGCUGAAAGUGACUUUGCUAUAGUCUUAGACCCAAGCAAAGAGUGGAGACGCCAGGAACAUCAUCUCAGGAGAGUCUACUGGUCCCUUCAUCUGCUGCUGGCCCCAGGAAGUCUCCUCUGGAAAAGAAAUCUCCUCCCCCCAAAGCCUGCUAACCAAGUCCCAAGCACAGAAAGGGGGGCUCAACCCAAUGGUAAAAACCUGAGCUCAAACGGGAUAGCUGUCCAUAGAACUCAAAGUUCAAGUGCAAUCAUGACCAGACACUUACAAUGGGGAGCUGGUCUACAUCCCACGCUGGGUGGAGGGUGUAGACCCCCACACUUGCAACCCCAGCACCAACCUAGAAUCUUGCCUGCAAAGAUGGCGCCUUCACCCCAAAAUAGAAGCCUAAGGGGACUGUGAAUUGAGACUUCAGAACCUAAGCUGGAAUAAAUCUUUGCUCCUAAUUUAGGCU